rnacentral:tRNA from 1 species
AGGUACUUAGUUUAAUUGUUAGAAUGCUAUUUUGCAAAAAUAGUGGUAUGUUUGUGGUUUAGUAUCUU